rnacentral:rRNA from 1 species
ACGGGUGAGUAACACGUAUGCAAUCCACCUGUAACAGGGGAUAACCCGGAGAAAUCCGGACUAAUACCCCAUAAUAUGGGCGCUCCGCAUGGAGAGUCCAUUAAAGAGAGCAAUCUUGGUUACAGACGAGCAUGCGCUCCAUUAGCCAGUUGGCGGGGUAACGGCCCACCAAGGCGACGAUGGAUAGGGGUUCUGAGAGGAAGGUCCCCCGCAUUGGAACUGAGACACGGUCCAA